rnacentral:tRNA from 1 species
GGAGUUGUGGCUCACAGGUAGAGCACUCACCUAGCAUGUGUGAGGCACUGGAUUCAAUCCUCAGCACCA